rnacentral:SRP_RNA from 2 species
GCCAGGCAUGGUGGUGCAUGCCUGUAAUCCCAGCUACUCAGGAGGCUGAGACAGGAGAAUUGCUUGAACCUGGGAGGCAGAGGUUGCAGUGAACCCAGAUUGUGCCACUGCACUCCAGCCUGGGCAACAGAGUAAGACUCUGUCUCAA